rnacentral:lncRNA from 1 species
GCAUAGUAUCCUAUAUGUGCUUUAAGGACUUAAUAUUUACUUUCAUUGAAAGUUUUUCAACCUGAAACUUCUUGUUUUCUUUCUAUGGCAUCUAGUGCAGUGGCAUCACGUUCCAUCAGUACAACUCCAGAUUCUACAGCAUAGAAAUGAACAACAACCACAACCACAAGAAAUAAUUAUUAUGUCUUCAGGAGUGGAGUACCCAGGGAGCCAUCCCAGGACAAUGGUUUAUUACUCAGUCUGACAGAAACAUACCUACUGCUGAAUUCCAGCUCAGUAUUCUCAUCCUAUCAUAAAGGCUAUUCUACUUAAAGGCACAAAGGAAAGGAGAGAUCCAACAGUCAGAAAAAACAGAAAACAGCAAAGAUGGCUACAGUGAGAACCAGCUUUUCUCUAAACAUCAGCCUUACCAGAAUUUGAUUCAGAUUGCUCAGGGCAGGCCUUUCUUGGAUUUGGCAGAAGGCCGGAGCCAUAUAAGUAAUGGUCAACUCAACACAUCUUGCUAUACACUAUUAAAAACAUGCUCAACAUGACACCUCUAAACACUGAACUUAUCUCCUGCCGUUUGGUAAGUAAAAAGCAAAAAGCAAAAUGUCACACACAAACCAAGAGACAAACCCUCAAAG